rnacentral:rRNA from 1 species
CAGUCGCCGCGGUAAUACAGAGGGUGCGAGCGUUAAUCGGAUUUACUGGGCGUAAAGCGUGCGUAGGCGGCUUCUUAAGUCGGAUGUGAAAUCCCUGAGCUUAACUUAGGAAUUGCAUUCGAUACUGGGAAGCUAGAGUAUGGGAGAGGAUGGUAGAAUUCCAGGUGUAGCGGUGAAAUGCGUAGAGAUCUGGAGGAAUACCGAUGGCGAAGGCGGCCCCCUGGACAAAGACUGACGCUCAGGUGCGAAAGCGUGGGGAGCAAACAGGAUUAGAUACCCCGGUAGUCCCUGUCUCUUAUAC